AGAGUUUGAUCCUGGCUCAGAUUGAACGCUGGCGGCAUGCCUUACACAUGCAAGUCGAACGGUAACAGGUCUUCGGAUGCUGACGAGUGGCGAACGGGUGAGUAAUACAUCGGAACGUGCCCGAGAGUGGGGGAUAACGAAGCGAAAGCUUUGCUAAUACCGCAUACGAUCUCAGGAUGAAAGCAGGGGACCGCAAGGCCUUGCGCUCACGGAGCGGCCGAUGGCAGAUUAGGUAGUUGGUGGGAUAAAAGCUUACCAAGCCGACGAUCUGUAGCUGGUCUGAGAGGACGACCAGCCACACUGGGACUGAGACACGGCCCAGACUCCUACGGGAGGCAGCAGUGGGGAAUUUUGGACAAUGGGCGCAAGCCUGAUCCAGCCAUGCCGCGUGCAGGAUGAAGGCCUUCGGGUUGUAAACUGCUUUUGUACGGAACGAAAAGACUCUGGUUA
rnacentral:rRNA from 1 species